rnacentral:rRNA from 1 species
UACAGAGGGUGCAAGCGUUAAUCGGAUUUACUGGGCGUAAAGCGAGUGUAGGUGGCCGCGUAAGUCGAUUGUGAAAUCCCUGGGCUCAACCCGGGAAUUGCAGUCGAUACUGCGUGGCUCGAGUUCGGUAGAGGGCAGCAGAAUUCUCGGUGUAGCGGUGAAAUGCGUAGAUAUCGAGAGGAAUACCGAUGGCGAAGGCAACUGCCUGGGCCUGAACUGACACUGUGACUCGAAAGCGUGGGUAGCAAACAGGAUUAGAAACCCCCGUAGUCC